UAAACUCAAAUUGAAUGUUAUCUCAGCAAACUUGUAAGGCGGAAAUCAUGGCAAGUGGCAUACAUGCAUGGAAACAGUGCUCAUGAACUGAAGCCUUAACUUAUCUUCGUUAGAAACCAACAAAGCCUCAAAUUAAAGAUGGAACAAGCGCCAGAGAUAUGCAGUUGUGACUGAUGCAAACAAAGGAAUUGGAAUAGAAAUAGUAAGGUUGUGUUGACUUCCAGAGAUGAGAAGAGAGGCCUUCAUGCUUUGGAAACUCUCAAACAUCUCUCUCAUCUUGUGCUCUUUCACCACCUUCAUGUUGCUGUUCCUGCUAGUGUGGAUUCUCUUGCAAAUUUCAUCAAAUCCGAAUUUCGAAAGGGGAUACAAGAUGAAUUAUGUGAAAAUAAAAUUUCCAUGUUUGCAUUUUUCUACUCAGAAAUAAGUUUCAUUGACUAUAUAAAUUUCUAUUGUAUGAUUUGGGAUUUUCUCAUUUAUUUUCAUGUUUGUUAGUUGCAUGUUAAGGUUUUUUUUUUCCUUACAAUUCCACUAAAAAAAUGUAAUUGACUAAUUUGUUCUGAAUGUAAUAAAUUAAACUUCUCGUAUGAAGCUCUGCAUGCUAAGAGGUUUAAUUACUAUCAAGUCAUGUUUAGGGUUUAUGUUAUUAAUUUUGGAUACUAACCAGGAAUGAGUUCAUUGCCUUAAUUAAUAACCUUGACUUGGUAGAUUAAUAUUAUUCUUGAAGAAAAGAAUUGCAUUUUGUAGAUCAACAAUGCAGUGAUUGGUGGACUUGUGAUUAAGGACAAUGAUUUGGUCCCUCAAGUGUUAUUGAAUAGCAGGGAAUUAUCAGAUGAUGUAAUAGAGAAAGCCGGAAUCGUUGAAACAUUCGAACUAGCUGAAGAAUGCUUGCAAAUAAAUUAUUAUAGUGCUAAAAGAAUAUCUGAAGCCCUUCUCCCUCUUCUCCAAUGAUCUGAAUCACCAAGAAUUGUGAAUGUAUCAUCCUCCCUAUGAAAGUUAAAGCGUGUAUAAAAUGAAUGGGCUAAAGGAAUCUUGGGCGAUGCUGAAAACCUUACAGAAGAGAGAGUUGAUGAAGUGUUGAAUGAAUUUGUGAAAGAUAUCAAAGAAGGGUGUUUAGAAAGAAAAGGAUCGCCUAAGGUUCUUGGUGCCUAUAUUAUCUCAAAAG